rnacentral:lncRNA from 10 species
UGUGAAGAUACAGCAAGAAGGUGGCCAUCUGCAAGCCAGGAAAAGGGGCCAUGGCAAACACUGAAUCUGCUCACAGUCUGAACUUGAACUUGUCAGCCUCCAGAAUUAUGGGGCCUUUGGUGAAUGGAAUUUGUGCUCUUACAAAAGGGACUUCAGAGAGCUUGUAUGCCCUUCCACCAUGUGAAGACACAGGAAGAAGGCACCAUCUAUGAACCAGAAAAUGGGCCCUCACCAGACAUCACAUCUGCUGGCAUCUUUAUCAAGGACUUCUCAGCCUCCAAAAUUGUGAGAAAUAAAUUUCUGUUGUGCAUAAG